rnacentral:rRNA from 1 species
UACGUAGGGCGCAAGCGUUGUCCGGAAUUAUUGGGCGUAAAGAGCUCGUAGGCGGUUUGUCGCGUCUGCUGUGAAAUCCCCAGGCUUAACCUGGGAACUGCAUUCGAGACUGCAUAGCUAGAGUAUGGGAGAGGGAAGUGGAAUUUCAGGUGUAGCGGUGAAAUGCGUAGAUAUCUGAAGGAACAUCAGUGGCGAAAGCGACUUCCUGGACCAAUACUGACGCUCAUGUGCGAAAGCGUGGGGAGCAAACAGG